rnacentral:rRNA from 1 species
UACGUAGGGGGCAAGCGUUGUCCGGAUUUAUUGGGCGUAAAGAGCGUGUAGGCGGCCUGACAGGUCUGCUGUGAAAACUCGAGGCUCAACCUCGAGAUGUCGGCGGAAACCGUCUGGCUAGAGUCCGGAAGAGGAGAGUGGAAUUCCUGGUGUAGCGGUGAAAUGUGCAGAUAUCAGGAAGAACACCUAUGGCGAAGGCAGCUCUCUGGGACGGUACUGACGCUGAGACGCGAAAGCGUGGGGAGCGAACAGG